rnacentral:rRNA from 1 species
CGAGAGAAUAUGUGGUCAAGCUAAUAAGGGUGUAUGGUGGAUGCCUUGGCGCCGGAAGGCGAUGAAGGACGUGGUAGGCUGCGAUAAGCCUCGGGGAGCCGCCAAACAGGCUUUGAUCCGGGGAUUUCCGAAUGGGGAAACCCGGCCGGUUGAAGACCGGCCAUCGCGAGAGCGAUGCCAACGUGGGGAAUUGAAACAUCUUAGUACCCACAGGAAAAGAAAGAGACUUCGACUUCGUGAGUAGCGGCGAGCGAAAGCGAAUCAGCCUAAACCUGGUAACUGCCAAGCCUACAGGCGUUGGUUAUCAGGUGUCGCGGGAACGCAAGUCUGCGGACUGUAGACCGUGGAGGAGGACAAAACUGCCAAUCUAGACGAACACCACUGGAACGUGGGACCAUAGAGGGUGAUAGUCCCGUAAUCGAAAGAGGAAGCAGCCUCCUUUUGCGUCUCCCAAGUAUUACCAGUCUCGGGGAAGCUGGUAUGAAUCUGCCCGGCCCACCGGGUAAGGCUAAGUACUUUCCGGCGACCGAUAGUGAACUAAGUAGCGCGAGCGAAAGGUGAAAAGAACCCCUGCGAGGGGAGUGAAAUAGAACCUGAAACCGUACACCUACAAGCAGUCGGAGGGCUAUGCACCGCAAGGUGAAGGCCUGACGGCGUGCCUUUUGCAUAAUGAGCCCGGGAGUUACUGGGUGCCGCAAGGUUAAGGGCCUCUGGUCCGUAGCCGAAGCGAAAGCAAGUCUGAAUAGGGCGAAUAGUGACACUCAGUAGACCCGAAUGCCGGUGAUCUACCCUUGAGCAGGGUGAAGCGGAUGUAACAAUCCGUGGAGGCCCGAAGGCAUAAACGUUGAAAAGUUUAGCUAUGACUUGAGGGUAGGAGUAAAAGGCUAAUCAAACCGGCCAAUAGCUGGUUCUCCGCGAAAUAGCUUUAGGGCUAGCGUCGAGUAAUAGUUAUCGGGGGUAGAGCUACUGAAUGGGCGUGGGGGUCUACCCGACUACCCUGCCCAACCAAACUCCGAAUACCGGUAACCGUAUCUCGGCAGUCAGAGCGUGGGGGAUAAGCUCCAUGCUCAAGAGGGAAACAGCCCAGACCGACGGCUAAGGUCCCAAAAUCCAGGUUAAGUGCACCAUGAAAGGAAGUGAGGGUGCUAAGACAGUGAGGAUGUUGGCUUAGAAGCAGCCACCAUUUAAAAAGUGCGUAACAGCUUACUCAUCGAGCACUCUCGCGCCGAAAAUGAUCGGGCCUCAAACCUGGUACCGAAGCCACGGGUUCAGUGACGUCCGUGGAUGUUGCUGAGCUGUAGCGGAGCGUUCCACGCAAGGGCGAAGGGAGACCGUGAGGACUCCUGGACGACGUGGAAGCGAGAAUCCGGGCAUAAGUAGCGCGCGAAGACAAGUGAGAAGCUUGUCCGCCGUAAGCCUAAGGUUUCCUGGGGAAGGUAACUCCUCCCAGGGUUAGCCGGCCCCUAAGGCGAGGCUGAAAAGCGUAGCUGAUGGGAAGCAGGUCAACAUUCCUGCGCCGGCUUGCAGGCGACCAAGACAUGGCAGGGGAGGUGGAGGAAGCUAGGCCAUCCGGACGAUCGCAAAUGUCCGGUCGAUGUCACAAGCUAUACUGCCCGGUAGGCAAAUCCGCCGGGUGUGGUGAAGGCAUCGAGGAUCCCUGAUGAGGAGUACUGGCUGAUGCUCUGCUCACGAGAAAAUCCUCGGUCAUGAGUCUGCAGGCCGUCCGUACUAAAACCGACACAGGUAGGCAAGGAGAGUAUCCUAAGGCGCUCGAGUCACCCCUCAUUAAGGAACUAGGCAAAAUGACCCCGUAACUUCGGGACAAGGGGAGCCCCUGAUGGUACUAAGCUGUUGGGGGCCGCAGAGAAUCGGGCUGGGGAACUGUUUACUAAAAACACAGGUCUGUGCCAAGCCGCAAGGCAACGUAUACAGACCGACGCUUGCCCAGUGCUGGAAGGUUAAGGGGUGGAGUGAGGUCUUCGGACCGAAGCUCCUAACCGAAGCCCCAGUAAAAGGCGGCCGUAACUAUGACGGUCCUAAGGUAGCGAAGUUCCUUGUCGGGUAAGUUCCGACGCGCAUGAAUAGCGUAAUCACUUGGCCGGUGUCUCAAUGAGGAGCUCGGCGAACUUGCAGCGGCGGUGAAGAUACCGCCUACCCGCAGAUGGACGAAAAGACCCCGUGAACCUUCACUGUAGCCUCAUACUGGGUUUAGGCAUGACAUGCGUAGAAUAGGUGGGAGACGCUGAUGUCCGGGUUUCGGCUCGGGCGGAGUCGACGGUGAAAUACCACUCUUGUCCUGUUUGAGCUCUAACGUCGUUCUGUGAAGCCAGACGACGGACCGUGUGAGGUGGGCAGUUUAACUGGGGCGGUUUCCUCCCAAAGUGUAACGGAGGAGUUCGAAGGCUCCCUCAGCUCGGUUGGCAAUCGAGCGUAGAGCGCAAGGGUAUAAGGGAGCUUAACUGCGAGGCCUACUAAGCCGAGCAGGUGUGAAAGCAGGACCUAGUGAUCCGGUGGCACCCGUGUGGAAGGGCCAUCGCUCAUCAGAUAAAAGGUACUCCGGGGAUAACAGGCUGAUCUCGCCCAAGAGUCCAUAUCGACGGCGAGGUUUGGCACCUCGAUGUCGGCUCAUCGCAUCCUGGGGCUGAAGAAGGUCCCAAGGGUUCGGCUGUUCGCCGAUCAAUAGCGGUACGUGAGCUGGGUUUAGACCGGCGUGAGCCAGGUCGGUCUCUAUCCUCUGUGGGUGUAGGACGAUUGAGGGGAGCUGCUCUUAGUACGAGAGGAUCAGAGUGGACGGACCUCUGGUGUGGCUGCUAUCGCGGCAGCGGUACUCGCAGCGUAGCUACGUCCGGAAGGGAUAAUCGCUGAAAGCAUCUAAGCGAGAAGCCCACCCCAAAACGAGUCGUCCCUGAAGGGGCCUGGCAGACUACCAGGUUGAUAGGGCGGAAGUGUAAGCACAGCAAUGUGUUCAGCUUACCGCUACUAAUCCCCCGUUCGGCUUGACCACAUAU